CCUACGUGAGGCAGCAGUGAGGAAUAUUGGUCAAUGGGCGAGAGCCUGAACCAGCCAAGUCGCGUGAAGGAUGACGGCCCUACGGGUUGUAAACUUCUUUUGUCAGGGAGCAAUUGAGUCCACGUGUGGGCUUAGCGAGAGUACCUGAAGAAAAAGCAUCGGCUAACUCCGUGCCCGCAGCCGCGGUAAUACGGAGGAUGCGAGCGUUACCCGGAUUUAUUGGGUUUAAAGGGUGCGUAGGCGGAAGAUCAAGUCAGCGGUAAAAAUUCGGGGCUCAACCCCGUCGUGCCGUUGACACUGAUGUUCUUGAGUGGGCGAGAAGUAUGCGGAAUGCGUGGUGUAGCGGUGAAAUGCAUAGAUAUCACGCAGAACUCCGAUUGCGAAGGCAGCAUACCGGCGCCCAACUGACGCUGAAGCACGAAAGCGUGGGUAUCGAACAGGAUUAGAUACCCCAGUAGUC
rnacentral:rRNA from 1 species